GCCUGAGCUCUCUAGGGCUUCUAUAAACAGGAUGGGGAUGAACUCCUUUGAACUUUCUUAAAAUCCCAGUUCACUGGAGAAGGUGCCCAUCCAUGAGUGCUGAACCACCAGAGAAGAAGGAAGGCACAGAGAAGUAGCAGCCAAGAAAAAAGACCAGGAAAUAUGAUGUAAACAAUCAAGUAUGUCCGUGAUCAUUUGAGGAAGGAGUGAACAGUAACUAUGUUGCUAUGAUGUCAUUGGACCAGUCAGCUGAGAAUAACUCAGAUGCUUGGUGAUGGAAGACUAACUCUGGCAGCCCAGUGAGCUUCAGCCUUCUUACUGAAGCUAAAUUCCCCACUGCUUGUGCAUAAAUUACCCAUCCCCCA